rnacentral:rRNA from 1 species
GAUCAUGGCUCAGGACGAACGCUGGCGGCGCGCCUAACACAUGCAAGUCGAACGAGAGAUGAAGAGCUUGCUCUUCAAAUCGAGUGGCGAACGGGUGAGUAACGCGUGAGGAACCUGCCUCAAAGAGGGGGACAACAGUUGGAGACGACUGCUAAUACCGCAUAAGCCCACGGCUCGGCAUCGAGCAGGGGGAAAAGGAGCAAUCCGCUUUGAGAUGGCCUCGCGUCCGAUUAG